rnacentral:rRNA from 1 species
CAGUUCGGAUUGUAGUCUGCAACUCGACUACAUGAAGCUGGAAUCGCUAGUAAUCGCAGAUCAGAAUGCUGCGGUGAAUACGUUCCCGGGUCUUGUACACACCGCCCGUCACACCAUGGGAGUCGGAAAUGCCCGAAGCCGGUGACCAAACCAAUAAGGAAGGAGCCGUCGAAGGCAGGUCUGAUAACUGGGGUGAAGUCGUAACAAGGUAAC